rnacentral:rRNA from 1 species
UACGUAGGGUGCGAGCGUUGUCCGGAAUUACUGGGCGUAAAGAGCUUGUAGGCGGUCUGUCACGUCGAUUGUGAAACCUCGCGGCUCAACCGCGGGCCUGCAGUCGAUACGGGCAGACUAGAGUACUUCAGGGGAGACUGGAAUUCCUGGUGUAGCGGUGAAAUGCGCAGAUAUCAGGAGGAACACCGGUGGCGAAGGCGGGUCUCUGGGAAGUAACUGACGCUGAGAAGCGAAAGCGUGGGUAG